rnacentral:misc_RNA from 1 species
GAAGACUGUUACAAAGGUUUAUCAUCUCUCUUUCUAUCCUAUUAUUUUGGGUUUAUGGCUUUUUUUCCUAUUGUUAUGCAAUUCUUUUAUUGUUUUUUACGUCCAUAUUAUUUGUGCAUUUUGAUUGUUUAUGAAAUCAGUAAUAUGAGCUUUAGUGUGGAAAUUGUAAAAUUUUUUAUUGUGUAUUCUCUUGACACUUUGUUCUGUCCAUGCUAUGUUAUAUCGUUUGUUUUGUUCAUGCUAUUUCUCGGUUUGAUUAUUAAAUGGGGUGGUAUGGUCUUUUGUGUGGAAAUUGUAAAAUGUUUUAUCCUGUAUUCUCUUGAAGUUUUGUUCUGCAAUGUUGCAAUAUUUAGGAUUUAUGUUGUUUGUUAGGUUCAUGCUAUUUGCGCUUUUUUAUUAUGAAAUUGGUAACUUUUAUCUUUUGUGUGGAAAUUGUAGUACGGCUUGUCCAUCCUACAUCCUCUCCUGCAAUUUUUUUAGUCUUUGUACUGUUGCAAUUUUUAGGAUUGGUUUAGUGAGAAUAGUGAUUGUCUCUGUUAUGAUAACUAUUUGAUUUGUGUGUUUUCUUGUUGACGUUUCCUAAAUUUGUGUUCGGUUUCUUGAUGUAUUUGGUGUAUUUCAUUUCUAUUUAUCUUGCAUUUUUGUUGAAGCAUAUUUGUGGAUAUAUAUGUCCUGUGAUUACAAGUGCCCUAAUCCAUUGUAUUAUAUUUGUUUGCUUGAUAAUUAAUUUUGUCUUCAUUUCCUCUAUGAACCUAUC